rnacentral:rRNA from 1 species
GAUGAACGCUGGCGGCGUGCCUAAUACAUGCAAGUCGAGCGAAUGGAUUAAGAGCUUGCUCUUAUGAAGUUAGCGGCGGACGGGUGAGUAACACGUGGGUAACCUGCCCAUAAGACUGGGAUAACUCCGGGAAACCGGGGCUAAUACCGGAUAACAUUUUGAACCGCAUGGUUCGAAAUUGAAAGGCGGCUUCGGCUGUCACUUAUGGAUGGACCCGCGUCGCAUUAGCUAGUUGGUGAGGUAACGGCUCACCAAGGCAACGAUGCGUAGCCGACCUGAGGGGGGGAACCGGCACACUGGGACAGGGACACGGCCCACACUCCUACGGGAGGCAGCAGUAGGGAAUCUUCCGCAAUGGACGAACGUCUGACGGAGCAACGCCGCGUGAGUGAUGAAGGCUUUCGGGUCGUAAAACUCUGUUGUUAGGGAAGAACAAGUGCUAGUUGAAUAAGCUGACACCUUGACGGUACCUAACCAGAAAGCCACGGCUAACUACGUGCCAGCCGCCGCCGUAA